GACGAACGCUGGCGGCGUGCUUAACACAUGCAAGUCGAACGAAGUGGCGAACGGGUGAGUAACGCGUAAUCAACCUGCCCUUCAGAGGGGACAACAAUUUGAAACCACCUCUAAUACCCCCAACUUAAGGGGGGGAUUUCGUCCGAUUAGCUAGGUGGAGGGGGAACGGCCCACCCAGGCGAGGAACAGUAGCCGGUCUGAGAGGAUGAACGGCCACAUUGGGACUGAGACACGGCCCAGACUCCUACGGGAGGCAGCAGUGGGGAAUCGUCCGCAAUGGACGAAAGUCUGACGGAGCAACGCCGCGUGAGUGAUGACGGCCUUCGGGUUGUAAAGCUCUGUUAAUCGGGACGCGGUACCGGAAUAGAAAGCCACGGCUAACUACGUGCCAGCAGCCGCGGUAAUAC
rnacentral:rRNA from 1 species